GGUCUUUUAGUUCAAUGGUAAAAUCACUGUCUUUCGUACAGUAGCUACCAGUUCGAAUCUGGUAAAGAUCA
rnacentral:tRNA from 2 species